GGAGAAAGUGUUUAGCUGUUUUGCUGUUAUGUGUAGUUUCUGUAGUAGUGUUAUUUUUAGUCUCCCCCUGUGUGUCAAAACGGGUCUGAUCUGCCAAUAUGUAGUCCCCUUUGUUUCUUUGGUAGGAGGUCAGGU